rnacentral:rRNA from 1 species
UACCAGCACCCCGAGUGGUCGGGACGAUUAUUGGGCCUAAAGCAUCCGUAGCCGGUCCUAUAAGUCUUCCGUUAAAUCCACCUGCUUAACAGAUGGGCUGCGGAAGAUACUAUAGGGCUAGGAGGCGGGAGAGGCAAGCGGUACUCAGUGGGUAGGGGUAAAAUCCUCUGAUCCAUUGAAGACCACCAGUGGCGAAGGCGGCUUGCCAGAACGCGCUCGACGGUGAGGGAUGAAAGCUGGGGGAGCAAACCGG